CCUACGGGGGGCAGCAGUGGGGAAUAUUGCACAAUGGGGGAAACCCUGAUGCAGCGACGCCGCGUGAGUGAAGAAGGAUUUCGGUAUGUAAAGCUCUAUCAGCAGGGAAGAAGCAAGACGGAACCUGACGAAGAAGCCCCGGCUAACUACGUGCCAGCAGCCGCGGUAAUACGUAGGGGGCAAGCGGUAUCCGGAUUUACGGGGUGUAAAGGGAGCGUAGACGGUAUGGCAAGUCUGAAGUGAAAGCCCCGGGCUUAACCCUGGGACUGCUUUGGAAACUGUUAGACUAGAGUGCUGGAGAGGUAAGUGGCAUUCCUAGUGUCGCGGUGAAAUGCGUAGAUAUUAGGAGGAACACCAGUGGC
rnacentral:rRNA from 1 species